rnacentral:rRNA from 1 species
GACGAACGCUGGCGGCGUGCUUAACACAUGCAAGUCGAACGGUAAGGCCCUUCGGGGUACACGAGUGGCGAACGGGUGAGUAACACGUGGGUGAUCUGCCCUGCACCUCGGGAUAAGCCUGGGACACUGGGUCUAAUACCGGAUAGGACCACUGCCUGCAUGGGUGGUGGUGGAAAGCUUUUGCGGUGUGGGGUGGGCCCGCGGCCUAUCAGCUUGUUGGGGGGGUGAUGGCCUACCAGGGCGAAGACGGGUAGCCGGCCUGAGAGGGUGACCGGCCACACUGGGACAGAGAGACGACCAGGACUCCAACGGGAGGCAGCAGUGGGGAAUAUUGGGCAAUGGGCGGAAGCCUGGUGCAGCGACGCCGCGUUAGGGAUGACGGCCGUCGGGUUGUAAACCUCUUGCAGCACCGACGAAGCGCAAGUGACGGUAGGUGCAGAAGAAGGACCGGCCAACUACGUGCCAGCCGCCGCGGUAA